rnacentral:rRNA from 1 species
GACGAACGCUGGCGGCGUGCCUAAUACAUGCAAGUAGAACGCUGAAGCUUGGUGCUUGCACCGAGCGGAUGAGUUGCGAACGGGUGAGUAACGCGUAGGUAACCUGCCUGGUAGCGGGGGAUAACUAUUGGAAACGAUAGCUAAUACCGCAUAAGAGUAGAUGUUGCAUGACAUUUGCUUAAAAGGUGCAAUUGCAUCACUACCAGAUGGACCUGCGUUGUAUUAGCUAGUUGGUGAGGUAACGGCUCACCAAGGCAACGAUACAUAGCCGACCUGAGAGGGUGAUCGGCCACACUGGGACUGAGACACGGCCCAGACUCCUACGGGAGGCAGCAGUAGGGAAUCUUCGGCAAUGGACGGAAGUCUGACCGAGCAACGCCGCGUGAGUGAAGAAGGUUUUCGGAUCGGAAAGCUCUGUUGUAAGAGAAGAACGAGUGUGAGAGUGGAAAGUUCACACUGUGACGGUAUCUUACCAGAAAGGGACGGCUAACUACGUG